UACGAAGGGGGCUAGCGUUGCUCGGAAUCACUGGGCGUAAAGGGUGCGUAGGCGGGUCUUUAAGUCAGGGGUGAAAUCCUGGAGCUCAACUCCAGAACUGCCUUUGAUACUGAAGAUCUUGAGUUCGGGAGAGGUGAGUGGAACUGCGAGUGUAGAGGUGAAAUUCGUAGAUAUUAGGAAGAACACCGGUGGCGAAGGCGACUUUCUGGCUCGUAACUGACGCUGAGGCGCGAAAGCGUGGGGAGCAAACAGGAUUAGAAACCCUUGUAGU
rnacentral:rRNA from 1 species